rfam:Oreochromis niloticus linkage group LG5, whole genome shotgun sequence.
GUGGGUUAUGGCGACAUGUGCCCCAUCACCAUGGGAGGCAAAAUGGUCGGCACUCUCUGUGCCAUUGCUGGUGUCUUGACCAUUGCCCUGCCUGUCCCUGUCAUCGUGUCCAAC